rnacentral:tRNA from 1 species
GCCCAUCUGGCGGAAUUGGUAGACGCGCCGGUUUUAGGUACCGGUGGCUUCGGUCGUGGGGGUUCAAGUCCCCCGAUGGGCA